GAAGCCAUCAGGUCAGGUGGGGAGUUUUUCCAGCUUCUGUUCUGGGGGUCUUGUGUGGAUGCCCAGGGACAAGCCAGGCAAGGAGGCUGCUUUUGCCCUCGCCCUGUGGCUGCCAGACUGACUGAUCCCGUUGGCAUCAGAUUCACACUGAAGAAACUGUGCUUUGUCCUGUGAAUAGAAAGCCAUGUCCAGAAGGCUCUAGUGUGUAUAACCCACUUUCCCAGGAAGCACUGCAAAAGAUAAAGGAUGUCAGGGACAGAAGAAGAAAAAGUAGAAAGUAUCAGAAAAUCUCUAAGAGUUGCCUAGUAGACACGUCAUACAAAAAGCCUAGUCUUGUUGCAGGUCUGUCUCAGUGCCUAGCUGACCCAGUGGUUUUAAAAGGACCAGAGUAUUUUGGGAAAUUGGAUGAAAUAAGUAGAGUUGCCAUCAAUAGUAGCACACUAUGUUCAGGCUAGCUGUUGUCCCCGUGCCCAUACUCACAUCAUCUCUAGCUCUCAGGGCCACACUGUGUGAAGACAACGUGUGGAGAUGGUGGAGCACUCAGGCAUUUCUAGGCUCAACAGAACCCUGCAGCUGAAGAUUAAACACCACCUGCAUCUACUCAACUCACAGGUCAGAAUGGCCGCUUCACAAAAGAAAAAUCGCUCGCAGCUGAACACCAAGAAUAUGAACAGCAGCUACUUCAAGAAUUCUAUACAUUAAAUCCCAAUUAUCUCCAUCUCUCCAUGGGUUUAGAUGAUAGGAAUAAGAUCCAAAUGAUACCACUGCAGAGCCCAACUGACAAAUGGCUUUGAUUCUCCCAGAGUAGGGAGGAAUGACAAUUUCCACAGACAUCUAACAGGGACAGACCUUCACCACCCACUGGUUUGCCCAAAUCCAGCCCAGUCAUUCCUGUCCGUUCAUCUGGUCACAGUGAACAAUUGCCUUCGGAAGGGGCAGGGGCAGAGUCACAGCUACUAUUCUUGGACAACCCAGCCCUGUCCUGGAUCCCCAUGUCAUCCAAGGACUGCCCCAUACCACCAGACCCAAGCACCUCCUCCAUCAGUCACUUGGCACUGUCAUUCUCAAGCCAUUGGACUUUGGUUUUUCUCAACAGCCAGAGGAUGUGCUGGGCUUUGAUGUCUUCGAUGCUGUUUGGAAAGCCUUAGCAGGCCUGACUGAGAUGGAGCUGCCAGGCCAGGCGUGAGCCUUCCCAUCCA
rnacentral:lncRNA from 1 species